rnacentral:rRNA from 1 species
GAUGAACGCUAGCGGCGGGCCUAAUACAUGCAAGUCGAGGGGCAGCGCGGUAGCAAUACUGGCGGCGACCGGCGCACGGGUGCGUAACACGUAUGCAACCUACCUUCAACAGGAGGAUAGCCCGGGGAAACUCGGAUUAAUACUCCAUAACACAGGGAUCCCGCAUGGGAAUAUUGUUAAAGCUACGGCGGUUGAAGAUGGGCAUGCGUUCGAUUAGCUAGUUGGUGUAGGUAACGGCUCACCAAGGCUACGAUCGAUAGGGGGUCUGAGAGGAUGAUCCCCCACACUGGUACUGAGAUACGGACCAGACUCCUACGGGAGGCAGCAGUAAGGAAUAUUGGUCAAUGGAGGCAACUCUGAACCAGCCAUGCCGCGUGCAGGAUGACGGCCCUAUGGGUUGUAAACUGCUUUUAUACAAGAGAAAACCCUGGUACGUGUACCAGGUUGAUAGUAUUGUAAGAAUAAGCAUCGGCUAACUUCGUGCCAGCAGCCGC